rnacentral:rRNA from 1 species
AUGCAGCAACUUCAUCAGAGUCAGAACUUGUUGUGGCUCUUGAUUGGUGACCUGAAUGAAAUCCAGUUUCUGCAUGAGAAGGAAGGAGGCAAUCCGCGCCCAGCACAAUAUAUGCAGGCUUUCCAAGAAGCAAUUGACGAUUGUGAGUCACACGAUAUGGGUUUCCUUGGAGACCCAUUUACAUGGCGACGUGGGAGGAUAAGAGAGAGAUUGGAUAUAGGCCUGGUGAAUGAUGCAUGGGCGAGUUUGUUCACCCAUGCGGCACUGCAGAAUUUGGAAUUUAAUCACUCUGACCACGGACCUCUUCUGGUGGAUACAGAGUUCUAUAGACACCCAAAUGAUGGACGUAACAAUGUACAAGUAAAAAAGAUUUGA